rnacentral:lncRNA from 1 species
GGGGUGGUCUUGAAAGGAGCGACUCUGGUUGCGAUCCGGCCGAGCGAGCAGCCCAAGAAGGAGGUGGCGGGAUCGGAGGCAAAUUGGGUUGCAUCGGCAUUUGAGGAGCCAUUUGGGACUGCUGCAAGGAUGUUGGUGAAGAGGAGGACCUACUGCCUCGAAAUGAACUCUUUCUGAAGGAGGGGCCUUGUUUGAGAUGAUGAGACAGAUGCAUGAGGUACUUCCCUUUUUUAUGAUGUGGUUGAAUGCUAGGAGUAUAUUGUAUUCUCUGUUUUCUGUUGCUUUUUUCCCAUUCCCUUCGAAGUUAUAUUAUCAAUUAUCUUGUUUAUUGUCUCUUGUUAGUUUAUUCUUGUUAAUGUUUCAAUGAUAGUAAACCGCUCUGUGUAGGUUUCUGAAAAUCAUGGGUGUCAUAUUCUUGAUUAAUAAGUUCUGUUACCAAUUGCAUAUGGUUUUGCACUAAAUUACACAUUGGAUCCCCUAUUACAUAAGAGAGGUGCUUGAAGUAUGUCUUAAUCUAAAUAGUUUUGCCAGUCUGGUUCCAAUAAUUUCCUGAUAUUAGAGAUAUUAUCUUGCAUUCUGCCAUAUUUCAUGCUAUUUUCUUGGUUCUUCAUCUGUUUUGAAAUUUGAUUGUUUACAAAUGAAGAUGCUUGUUGUAAUACUGUUUCAUUGGUUCUGCAUCUUAUCAAUUGAGGUUGGAAGGGCACCGUCUAUCUCCAUUUCUAGAAAGCUAGGUGAAAUUUUCGUUCCGUUGUGAUGCAUCUGUCAUCUGGCUGGGACAUUGUGAAUGCGUUGUGAUUGUGAUUAUGGCAAACCAAUACGAAGUUGAAUGACUUAAGAGUUCUGCCAUGAUAACCUUUUAAUGUCUUCCAUUUCUCAAUUAACGUUGUAAGCUUGUUAUUAUUCAUGCCUAAGCUGCUAUGCCCAACCACUUUCUCUGUUCACGGAUUUCGCGUUUGCACUCUAGUUUUUGGGGAAUUCUGUGCUGCCACUGCGAUAUUGUCAUCUCUUAUAAGCUCUUCUUUCUUUAAAUACUGAUCUUUUUCUCCCUAAUCUAUUGGUAAUUCUGAUUUCUUUGUUCUAUACAAGGAUCUUUCAGGUAGAGUGUGGCAACGGAAGGUCCCAAAAGCGCAGAGCACGAAUUUUGUCUUGAGCAGAGCAAGCUGCAAGCCAGUUGCCGGCCAAGUUCAUACGGCUUCCGGUUACGACGUUGGUGGUUGAUGAAGAGCCUGCAAUUGAUGAUCAAACUGCUUUCAUUUUGAAUACUUUAAAGAGGGGGGGUGCUAUGCAACUGGAUAAUCAUGUUGUAAGAGUUAUGAGAUUUUGAUAAUCUGUCUGUGUUAGUUAUAUGUAUAUGUGAAUAUUGUAGGUAUGAUAUGACCAUCUAUGCUUAUCUGCUCUCCUUUUUCUGAAAGGUUCAGCUGCAUAUUAUAUUUUAGCUGAUUUACCCACCAAUAAAUGUCAAAACGCCUCUUCAUUUCUAUUAAUCAAGGAUAUUUUGUAGUUCAAUCUUCAUUUGUUUAUUUCUGCUAGGGUAGCAAAAUGAUUUUAUUUACUCAAUUCUUCGAUAUUUUUUCUAUGGUAUUAUCCUUUGAUUGUGACUGCCAUUUUCUCCACACCCUUCUAUUCUUCAUCAAUCAUCACUGCGCUAUAUAAUUAAAAGGACUAUAAAACAAAAUGAACAUAUAAAAAUAGUUGAUAUUAUAUGCAAAACCCUACUAUUCUUUUUACGGAGACUACGAAGUCAAAAAACAUAAUUAAUUUUGAAAAAUUAUAGUACUCUUUUCAGUAUACAAAAAAUUUGUCAUAUAUAUAUUUUUUCCGAUCUGUUCACGAAAACAUGUUAUUUAUAUUUAUAAUAGUAGAGUUCACACAACUUCACACACAUUAAAAUUGAGACUCUAGCUCUAUUAAAAAUUUUAUUCGCAUUUUAUUAAAAUUUAUGCUAUCUAUAAUGUGACAAUUUUUUUUGUGGACAGAUGAAUAGGUGUAACAAACGGAUUAUGUAAUUACUACUCCCCGUCCACGAAAAAUAAAAAUACUAGUUUCUUUUUAUUAUUUUGGGGUAUCCACGAAAAUUGAUCUCUAUACAUUAUUGAAAACUUUCUAUCAAGUGGUGAACUAUUUUCGCUACUCACAAUACAAUUAAUUAUCAUUAUUAAUAUUAUUUUUUUAAAUGAGACUCCUCUAUUUGUGAUACACUCAAUUAUUUUUAUUAAAAUUUGUGUCAUCCUCUUCUAUGACUAUUUUUUUGUGGACAAAUAGAUUAUUUGUGAGUAUAUUUUGGUAAAAAAAAAACGGUUGAAAACUUGAAAUCACACAUGUAUGAAUCAUUGAAUUGGAUCCUCUUCUUCAAUAUCAAUUCAGUGAAAUCUUGGAGACUCGAAUUAUUAGUGUUAGUAGGUAAAAAUGCCCACUUUGUUAAGUGUAAAAUUAAAAAUCUCACUUUUUAUAAAAACUUGAUCAUAUGCCCAAAUUAAAGUGAUGAAUCGAAAUUAUCCUUGGAUGUUGAUGAUUUUGCAUCAACUUUUGUGUAACUUUUUCUGAUACAAAUACAAAUAUUUAAGAAAAAUAUAAGAAAAAGUAGUCUGCUGUCGGAAAAGUAGGUUGUCACUCGAGCGGCAACCUACUUAGUGAGGUUGCCGCUCGUACGACAAGCUACUUUUUUGACCGGUAAGCUACAUUUUUAAUUGAAAAUUUUAAUUUGUUACAAGAAAAAGUAGGUUGCCGCUCGGGAGGCAACCUACUUAGUGAGGUUGCCAAUCGAGCGACAACCUACUUUUCCGACAACUGACUACUCCCUCCGUCCGCCAAAAAUAUGACACUUUGGCUGGGCACGAGAUUUAAUAAAAUUGGUAAUAAUGUUGAUGUAGUGGAGAAAUGGUCUCACAAUUUUAUGAGAUGUGUGGUUGAAAUUGAAUUUGAGGUGAAUUUUUUGUAAAUAAAGAGUGUUUGUAAGGAUAAAAUAUAAAAAUGGAUGGUGGGACCAUUGCCUUAAAAGGAAAGUUGUAUAAUCUUUGCGGACGCCCAAUAUAGUAAUUGUGUCAUACUUUUGGCGGACAUAUGAGAUAUUUUUUAUCUUACAAGUACACUGAUUGAGACAUGAAGGGUAGUUUAGGUAUUUUGAGUAUAUGAUUAAGUUUUUAUAAUAUGUGGAUAUUUUUAAUUUUUGACUUAACCAAAUAGGCAUAAAAAAUUCCGCCUCCGAAUUAUUAGUUACUAGAAAAUUAAAAGAGAAGAAAAGAAAAAAGAAGAAAAGAAAAUACUAGUAUAAUAUAGAAAAAAUACAGUAUAAAAAUAAAACGGAACGACAGGCAGCAAUGUCGUUUGGGAAUUCAACUGUCCCAGGCUCCGCAUAUCUACUGUCAUAGGCUCAUAGCCAUAGGCACUUAAAAAGCAAAGAAAAAAAAGAAAGAAAAAAACGAGAAGAAAGAAAAACACGCACAACACACACCACACCACCAUUUUCCUCUUCCUCCUCCUUCACUCACUUCUCCCAAAUUCCCCCCACCUCAUUAAACUCCCACCCUAAUUCCACAAAUCCAAACUCUCUCCCUCUCUCUCUCAGAUCCAUUGAGUUUGUUUGACUCAAUUUCUUCCUUCACAUCUUUCUACCUAAACUCGCUUGAAAUCACCUUCCGAUUCUCGUGUAUCUGGUGCCAACUUGUUGGGGGUGUUUUGGCUCAAGAGCUCGAAUUGUCGCUGAAAGCUAUGGCUUCGAUUGGAGCAGAUCUGUGCCGCAAAAUCUACCCCGAGCCGGUCGACCACUUCGAUCGGUUGCCGGACUCUCUCAUCCUCUUGAUCUUCAAUAAAAUCGGAGACGUGAAGGCGCUGGGCCGAUGCUGCGUCGUUUCGAGGCGGUUCCACUCGCUCGUUCCCCAAGUCGACAACGUCGUAGUCCGCGUCGACUGCGUCAUCUCCGAUGACGAUCCUUCCUCCAACUCUUCUUCGUCCGCAUCCGGUUCCGCCGCCGGCGACAAGUCGCGCCACCCUAUCUCCUCCCUCUUCCGCAUCUUCUUCUCCGGGAUCUUCAAACCCUUGCAGUCCCUGUCUCAGCUCAUCACCCCCUCGGCGCGCCGGCUUCCUCUUUCGGAGGUAUUUCGACUGCGAAGCGGAGCAGAGCACCGUCACACACCAUUCGCCGACGCAGGUCUUGAAGAAUUCAACGAGAUCAAGCUGCUCAGGAUAGAGCCUCCCCGACGGGGGAGCUGGGGAUUGAUGAAGGCGUUUUGCUCAAAUGGAAGCGGAAUUCGGCUCCACGCUUGACAGCUGCGUGAUUCUCGGAGCUUCGAGCGUCGUGCAGAGUGCAAAUAGCGGCUACAAUUGCCUGGGCGCUUGCAAUACCGCAAUUGGUGGUGAUAGUGGAGUGGAGAACGAUAAUGGUAGCAUACCGGAAUCGUUCUACACCAACGGAGGCCUGAAGCUGCGCGUUGUGUGGACCAUCAGCUCGUUGAUCGCCGCCUCCGCCAGGCAUUACCUUCUGCAGCCUAUAAUAGCGGAGCACAAGACGCUCUCGAGCUUGGUUUUGACGGAUGCUGAUGGGCAAGGGGUGCUGUCUAUGAAUAAGGAGCAGCUGGAGGAGCUGAGGGUGAAGCCUCUGUCAGCGUCGUCGGCUUCGAAGAGGACUCUUGUUCCGGCUCUCAACAUGCGUUUGUGGUAUGCUCCUCAUCUCGAGUUGCCUAACGGGGUGGUCUUGAAAGGAGCGACUCUGGUUGCGAUCCGGCCGAGCGAGCAGCCCAAGAAGGAGGUGGCGGGAUCGGAGGCAAAUUGGGUUGCAUCGGCGUUUGAGGAGCCAUUUGGGACUGCUGCAAGGAUGUUGGUGAAGAGGAGGACCUACUGCCUCGAAAUGAACUCUUUCUGAAGGAGGUGGCUUAUCUAAGGAUGAAGAGACAGAUGCAUGAGGUAUUUUCUCUUUUUUCUCUUUUUUUACAGAAUCCUUUAAUAAGUUUUGAUUGUUUCGGAGAUCUGUGGUUGAAUGCUAGCUAGUAUAUUGUAAUUCUUCAUUCUGUUGCUUUUUAUCUUAGGUUCGAAGUUGAAUUGUCUCUUGUUUGUUUAUUCUUAUUGCUGUUUCAAUGAUAAUAAAUUACUCUGUCUUGGUUUCUGAAAAUCAUGAGCAAUUUCUCAUACCAAUUGCUUCUGAUUUUUCCCUAAAUUGCAUAUUGGAUUCCCAAUUACAUAAGAGGGGUGCUUGAAGCUAUUGACUCCCUUUGCAUCUGUCUUAUUCCAAAGAGUUUUUCCACUCUGAUUCCAAUUGCGUCCUGAUUUUGGAUCCACUAUGUUGUUAUCUUGCAGUCUGUCACAUUCCCUUCAAUUUUGUUGGUUCAUAAUUUUUUUACUCCAAAUGAAGAAGAAUCAGAAGAUGCUUGUUGUGAACUACUUGAUCUGUUCUUUAUCUUAUCUAAUGGGAAUUGAAGGGCACUGUGUAUCUCCAUUGCUAGAAAGAUUGGUGGAAAUUUCAUUCUGCUAUGAUGCAUCUGUUUGGUUUUUAUACUCCUUACGUUUCUCAGUUAACCAUUUUAUAUCUAAGCUGUUGUGAGAGUGACUCUUGACCAGUUUCCUGUUUGAAUACUAGUUUUUGGGAAAUUCUGUGCUGCAACUGCGACAUCACCAUCUGUUUUAAGCUUUGAUUUCUUGAAUCCGUUUUAUAUCAGUGAUCCUGACUUCCUUAUUCAAGUAUCUUUCAGGUAAGCGAAGGUAAGGUCCCAAAAUCGCAGAGUGCAAAUUUUGUCUUGAGCAGAGCAAGCUGCAAGCGAGUUGCCGGCAAN